CUGACUGUAGUCAUGGACAAGACAAACUUGGAAUGCCCAGAGGUAUUCACAUCUAAUCCUGCUGAGACAUUUAUGUAAUGUAUUUUAUGCUAGUUAUAUUAGUACGAAUGGAGUUGCCCAAAAUGAACAAUUUAGAAUUUUGAUGCAUGACAGGUUAUAUGCAAGUGGUUCUCGUGUUAAUAUAUAUGUGUGCUCCUCCAUUUGCUACCAGCUUUUGUAUCUUAAAUAUUUUCUGGAGCUGCUACGUGACUCUUUAUUCUUCAAUGUUUUUAUAACUAUUAUUUCUGUUGUCUUUCUGUUUUUAUAACUAUUAUUUCGAUGCCUGAGGACUGAGGACGCUAGCUCUCGACUUCUGAUUCUGAUUGCUUUAAGUAAUCGGAGUGCUUUUGAUUCUGAUUGCUGAAAGCAAUCAGAGUGCUUUUGAUUCUGAUUGUUUUAAUCGAAGUGCAAUUCCAUGACACAGUUUCUGUGAUGUUUAUGCUAAUUUUGGGACAACGAUGCCAACAAAAAACAAAGGCAGUAAUUUUGGGAUAAAUGAUGAAUGCUACCAUUCACAUCUUUUGGACUGUAUUUUUUUUGAGGAAAAUCUUUAGGACAGCAUGAUGUUGGGUUGGACAAUUGUUAGCCAAUGUAUUGGGAUGAAUGCUACAAUUCACAUGUACAGUACUUACUGCUUCUAUCUAGUUUAGAUGCUUAAAGUGGUGGAUUUGUUGUAGUCGACUUGAUAACAGCUAAAAGUCAUCCAUUAGCAGUGCAUAUACAGCACUGCUUUUUCCAUUAACAGCUAUUAUGUCAUGCAUCAUGUUGCUUAAAAAUUCUAUGUAUCUCUUUUUAUAGUUGUUUAUUACGAAGCCUGUUUCACACAUGUGUUCUGCUAUGCUUUCCAUACCUAUCUUACAUCUUCUAUGUUGUAUUGUACUAUGUUUUGUUUUUGACUACAGUUCUACCUUGACACAGGAGUUUGAAGUGUUGACGAGGCCAUUCGAUAGGUACAACAUCAGAGAAAGGUUGGCAACGUUCUUAGUGGAAAAAUUCAUCAACAAGAAAGGAGAGUUCCAUCAGCCUAGCUAGUUAACCACUAGUGAUGUGUAAUUGCCAUUAUUAUGGUCCGGUGAUGUAAUGUGUGUGACUGAACAUAUAAGCUAAUAAGUAGAUUUCGAACAAGUUAUGAACUGGUUGUGAAUCC
rnacentral:lncRNA from 1 species